CGUCAACAAAAAUGGAACCUUCGAUCGACUUUCACAAUUACUCGAUCAGUCUUAAUCUGUAUUCCGACGAGUAAACAUAGAAGCUCCAUCGGGAAGUGUUUCCUUCAAGUAUCAAUGAAGAACUAAAUCCAAUAUAAUAAAUUUCUACAAUUUAUUUUACUUUAGAUUUAAAUUGUAAACAAGCGGUGUUAGCGUACGUAUUACAAAAACAAAAGCAAAGCUUUCAUCGACUUUGACGAUUAUUGGAUCAGUCUUCCUUCGUAUUUCGACAAGAGAACAUAGAAACAAAGGCACAAGAUACCUUUCCUACAAAGUAGUAACGUAGAAUUAAAUCAAAUAUAUUAUUAUAUCACACAUUUCUUUAAUAUUUUAUACAAUAUAUUUUCUUUUGAAUUUACAUUUUGAAUUAGCGGUAAUGCUACGCGUGACGUCAUCAAAAUGGAAUCUUUGAUUGACUUUGAUAGUUACGCGAGCAGUCUUCCUUUGUAUUUCGACGAGUUAACAUCGAAGGACCCUCAGGAUAUCUUUUCUAUAAGUAAUAACAAAAAUUACGCGGCAGUCUUCCUUUGUAUUUCGACGAGUCAACAUCGAAGGACCCUCAGGAUAUCUUUUCUAUAAUUACACGAGCAGUCUUCCUUUGUAUUUCGACGAGUCAACAUCGAAGGACCGUCAGGAUAUCUUUUCUGUAAGUAAUAACAAAAAGUAAAAAUAAUUAUACUCUUAUAUCACACAUUUCUUUAAUAUUUUAUACAAUAUAUUUUAUUUUAGAUUUAAAUUUAAAAUAGCGGUGCUUGUGUACAAAAACAAAAGCAGAUCUUUCAUCGAUUGUAACAACUAUUGGAUCACUCUCACUUUGUAUCCCGACGAGUAAACAUCGAACGUUCCUCAGGAUGUUUUUCCUGACAGUAUCAACAAAGACUUUUAUUUGAAAACCUCAUUGUAUCGUGCGUGUUGCAAUGAUGUAAUCGAGUGUUUGUAUCGCUAAAAGAAAAUAUAUCGCGAAGUAGAAGCAGUGUUUAUUCGUUCGUGUUUCGCGAUUUAAAUAACACGUGAAUUUUCAUCGACUGCGUGCAAUGCAGUUGUUAGAGUCAGUGUUUGUUCGUAAAGUAUCUUGCAUUUUUAACAGUCGCAUAGACUGUAUUUAUAAAAGAUAAUAAAUUUUCGCGAAAUAAAUUCAGUGAUCGUUCGUUAAUAAAUAAUUAUCGCGAAUUAGAGUCAGUGCAUCAUUGAAGAGGAUCUUCAAUCCAUCGUCUAUAAUUGAUCAACCAAUUACGAAUCAUCCACCCUCAAUUUCGAUCUAAAUCGUGGACGAGUGUUUUGGAGCCAUCGCAGAACUUCUUAAUUAGUAAGUAAAUUUUUUAAUUCCUCCGAUCACUCGAUCAUGUCGAAAGAUCUGAAUCAACACGAGUAAUUUGGUCGUAAUUAAUAAGUAGAAGAACAUUGAGUGACCACGAAUAAAUUUCUUCGGAGAUCAGGAUAGAGUCUUCUUGUUCAAUCGCGUUAAUUGUUACUAUUUGUAAUAUUAAAUAUUUCAAUACAUUUUUAAAUAUUUUCUCUCGCGAAAAUAAUAAAGAAUCGAUAUUUACGAAUUGUAAUAAAUAAUGAACAAGAAGAUAUUCGCGAUGGACUAUCGUCUCUGAAUUACAAGCGAAAUUGUAUUAUUUAUUUUCUAAUAAUUAGAAUAAUCGCUUGUAAGAAGAAACGUUUACAGAUUUUUCGUUACAUUUGUAAAUAAAAUAAACGAUUUUAUUGAUAAAAGAAAAGUUUUAAUAAAGAUAUUACUUUUGCAAAAAAAGAAAAAAAGUCGAGUAGAAUCAUUCGAAGAAGCCUCUACGAACUGUGGCUCAAGAGGGCAGCUAUUAGGUUAUUGAGUUAUAUUUUAAUUUUACUAUGUCACUCAAAAUGCUCAUAUAAUAAUAAUAAUGUAGAUUUAAGAAAUUGACACGUCGUAACAUUCCGUCUCCGAUUCCAUUGUAAUGUACACGUGAAUUAUCACAUAUUUUACGCAUUUUUAUUAUUAAAGUCGAAUAAUAAAUUUUUCGCGUUUUUUUUUCGAAAUUCAGUUAAACUCAUAAUUUUAUUUUUAUAAAGACAAAUUCUCUCUGCCACACGUUAUGGGAAAAAAAUAUUUGUUUGAAUUAGGAUCGAGAAUUUUUCAUUUUCAUUGUUUCUUCUCUCGUAUUUCGA